rnacentral:miRNA from 1 species
ACUGCUGGGUAAGACGAG